rnacentral:rRNA from 1 species
GUGCCAGCCGCCGCGGUACUACCGGCAGCUCAAGUGAUGUCCCAUAUUAUUGGGCCUAAAGCGUCCGUAGCUGGCUGCGCAAGUCCGUCGGGAAAUCCACUCGCCCAACGAGUGGGCGUCCGACGGAAACUGCACAGCUUGGGACCGGAAGGCUCGAAGGGUACGUUCGGGGUAGGAGUGAAAUCCCGUAAUCCCGGACGGACUACCGAUGGCGAAAGCACUCUGAGAAGACGGCUUCGACAGUGAGGGACGAAAGCUAAGAUCGCGAACCGGAUUAGAUACCCCGGUAGUCC